rnacentral:rRNA from 1 species
CUGCUAUCGGAUUGAUACUAAGCCAUGCGAGUCUUUGUAGUAAUACAAGGCAGACGGCUCAGUAACACGUAGUCAACCUACCCUAUGGACAAGAAUAAUCUCGGGAAACUGGGCAUAAUUCUUGAUAGAUCAUAAUGCCUGGAAUGGUUUAUGGUUAAAAUGAUUCGUCGCCAUAGGAUGGGACUGCGGCCUAUCAGCUUGUUGGUGAGGUAAUGGCCCACCAAGGCGAUUACAGGUACGGGCUCUGAGAGGAGAAGCCCGGAGAUGGGUACUGAGACACGGACCCAGGCCCUAUGGGGCGCAGCAGGGGAGAAAACUUUGCAAUGUGCGAAAGCACGACAAGGUUAAUCCGAGUGAUUUCUGCUAAAGAAAUCUUUUGCCAGUCAUAAAACCACUGGUGAAUAAGGGGUGGGCAAGUUCUGGUGUCAGCCGCCGCGGUAAAACUAGCACCUCAAGUGGUCAGGAUGAUUAUUGGGCCUAAAGCAUCCGUAGCCGGCUUUGUUAGUUUUCGGUUAAAUCCAUGUGCUCAACGCAUGGGCUGCCGAAAAUACUGCAUAGCUAGGGAGUGGGAGAGGUAGACGGUACUCAGUAGGAAGGGGUAAAAUCCUUUGAUCUAUUGAUGACCACCUGUGGCGAAGGCGGUCUACCAGAACACGUUCGACGGUGAGGGAUGAAAGCUGGGGGAGCAAACCGGAUUAGAUACCCGGGUAGUCCCAGCUGUAAACGAUGCAGACUCGAUGAUGCAUUGGCAUAAUAGCCAAUGCAGUGUCGCAGGGAAGCCGUUAAGUCUGCCGCCUGGGAAGUACGUACGCAAGUAUGAAACUUA